AAUCGCAGCAGCCGCCCGCUAACCUGAGAGCCCCGCGAUGGAAAGCGGCGGGACGCGAAGCAAGAGCUUUCACACAAGCCAAGAGCAGAGGGGCUCCAGGGCAGGUGCGGCGUUUCUCUCCUCACCGUGUUUCUACUGCAAUAUACCAUGUGGUAGACGUGCUGGGCGCAGGACGGAGUUCUCACCAAACGGAUGUUGUUCAGUCCGGAUUUUUGCUUUACGAGACACGGCGCAUAUUAGUGACGGAGCAGAGAGUAUAAAGCGUGACGGACGUGACGGGCGGUUUUGGGUAUCGGCUAUAAACGUGUUUGUCUAAAAUGUAUUUGUGUUUCUGCUUUGUGGUAUAAAGAGAUUGUCUAAAGCUCCCUUCUGUUCUCUGUGCUCCUUUGCCUCCUGCGGCUGAGGGGCGAAGCAUCAUCGAGGUGGAAGGAGCCAACCGGGUGCUCGUAGAUCCCGGAAAGAAAAAGUCCUGCGAGUCAUUGAGUCCCAAGAAGCCCCGACGCCUUUUCGUACCACCCCCACGCACCCCGUGAGCUCCUUCUCCUUCAGCGGUGAGACCUCCGGACCCUCGACGCUCGGCACCAGGUCCGCGGGCGGGCGAUCGCAGCAUCGGAGUCUCGUUCAUGCGCAUCUCCAGUGAGAAGAUCUACGACCUUCUGGGACAGCCAGCCGGCCGAGGUGUGCGGCAUCCGCGAGGGGGACGACUUCGUGCUCCUGGAGGGCCUCGACGAGGUGGAGGUGGACUCGGCCCAGUCUCUGCCGCAGCUCUGCCGACGGGGAGCCGCCAGCCGGCUCCCGGGCGUCCCGUCCCGUCCCGUCCCGUCGAGCUCCGGUCUCGUCCUCGUUCCUCGCCGCCGGCGUCACCCUGCCUCCUCUCUCGGCAACAGGGGCGUCCAGGGGAGGAUUCGCCAGCAGGAGCCACAUCAUCUUCAACGCGUCGGUCAUCAGCCGCAGGCCGCACAGUCACCACAGUCGGGAGGGACUGGGCGCUGGCAGCAAGCUCACCCCGGUGGACCUCGCCAGCCCUGCGAAGAUUCAAGAAAACACAUUUUAAAAGUAAUAUUGUGGUACGCCGGAGUGUCCCGUCCUUCCAGUUGCGGCCGAGCAGUUCAGCUGCACGCGCUUCGAAUCCCUGCAGCGCGCUGUGUGAGAAGUGCAGCCUGACUAAAGAACAGUGUGUCGCAUUGGUGUCGCCGUGGGACAUUAUCUGUCUCGAGCAGUUUCCCAUUUUUCCCAGAGCUCAAUAGUUCCAACGGCAAAUGAUUCCCUUCGUGCCAAGUCUCCGCCCGGACGACAGGGAGCGCAAGUCCUUCCUGCCCCCCCCUGCGCGGGGUGGCGCCGGGGGCGGGACGGGCGUCUCCCUCACGCUCCCUGCCGGGGGUCCGGGACCUCGAGGCCGGCGGGCGGGAGAGGGGGGCCGGGCCGACGGGCGGCACCGGGGAGUGCCCCACCUGCCGGCGGGAACGGGCCAUCCGGCACGGGUACGACAAGUACGUCGUCCGGGCGAACGAGGAGAGGGAGGAGCUCGGCCAGCGGGUGGCGCCGCUGGAGGCCAGGCUGCGGAGCAGCGCUGUUGAGGAGCAGCGUCAGGAGCCUGCGGGGGCCCCUGGGGGGACACGAACCCGUAGCACGGGGACAGCGGCUGUGUGUGAGGUGGGUGGGGUACGGAGGGGGAGGCGCAUUCGAACCAGACGGAGCAUCAUUCUUACGAAGCCGUGCUAUUAUUCCUCAUGUUUCCCGGACCGAUGAGAAGAAUUAAGAAGGAAUAAGAACUUUAGUGGCCAAAUGUAUUUAUUAUUUAUACUAUAUGUGUAUAAAUGUGAGGGGGGGCGCCGUGGCGCAGUGGGUUGGUCCCGGUCCUGCUCUCCGGUGGGUCUGGGGUUCGAGUCUCGCUUGGGGUGCCUUGCGACGGACUGGCGUCCCGCCCUGUGUUGCCAGGUUAGGCUCUGGCUCCCCGUGACCCUGAAUGGGACAAGCGGUUCAGAUGGUGUGUGUGUGUGUGUGUGUGUGUGUGUGUGUGUGUGUGUGUGUGUCUGUGUGUGUGUAAAUGUUUGACGCUUGAUGAGUACUGACCACACAGUGGUUCCUGUUACCUUCUUGUGCCCCAGGAGAGGCUGCAGAGGGAGGAGGAGGAGCUACAGGAGGACUGCGGCGAGGAGAAGGAGGCGCUGGGGGGAGGGGGUCCGCUGCGCUGCAGGGCAGAACUGGAGCUUCGAGACCUGAAGGUCCAGCGGGAGAAGGAUCGGCUGCUGCUUCGCUGCCUGAAAGAGCGGAAGGUAGCGGAAAGGGGGCGGGUCUGAAAGCAGCCAAACGCCCCCCCACCGGUGGGAGGAGCUUCGUCGCACUGGGUUAGGGUUAGCGUGUCGCUUUCCGCCCCGUCCACCAAGGAGACCCUGUCCGCAGAGCUCGAGGACACCAGGGACGAGUGCGAGAGGUUCAAGGAGAGCAUCGCCCUCGCUGUAGCGCAGCUCCAGAAGGAGAAGGUGAUCCACUCGCUCCAGCAAAUGCCCACACACUGCAGCUGUGUACCAGCCAGGGUUAGGGUAUCAGUUAGGGUGUCAGAGCUCCUUGUUCAUUUCAUGCUGUUACAUUUUCACAGGACAAACUACUGCUGCAAAUAUAAGAGAAAGACAUGUGCCAUGAAAAAGUGAGCUCUAUUAUGCUAAUAUUAAUAUUAAAUAUGUAUCGCAGUGCAGUGUUUUACAGCGCUGUUGUCCGGCCCCGCUGUUGGGCUCCCGUGUGCUUCACCGCUGCCCCCGCAGGUCGUGGCAGAGAACGCAAGUCUGAAGGAGGAGGUGGAGGAACUGCUGAAUGUGACGGGUUCUAGAAGGUUCUGCCCCGCUCAUCCAAACCAGCUCGCCAGCAGUACGGCGGCGCUCGUGUCACACGAGGGGUCCGAACGCUGCCCGAAAGGUGGCUUCGCAGGAAACUGGCUCCUCCCGCCUCAUCGAAGACUCGCGGAUCCAUUCAACGAAAGAACAAACGGAGGAGCGAACAAGAAGCGAACGGGAACUUUAUUCAUCCCAGAGGAAAUGCGCACAGAGUAUCCGUACGCUCCUUUCUUGUCAUGUUUUCAGAGGUCUGCUCUCAUAGCUCCGCCCCCCACGGAAGUCCCAGCAGCCCCGUGGUGGCGAACGACGACAACGACGGCGACGGGCUCCUUCGUAUGAAAGACGUCUUCGGACAGCCGUGAGCGACGGAGCGAACCCGGGGACUGGCGCUGGGGUCUAGGCCUGUUCUCCCACCCAAGUAGCAGUCCACACUGUGUCCACGUGCGCGUCACUUGGGUCGCAUGCGUUACUUUGUCCACUGGUGUGUCACGUUGUUCAUGUGUGUAUUACUGCGCCCUUCGGUGCCUUACUUUGUGCACACGUGUUCGUACUGCAGGCCGAUAUUUACUCUCUCGACUUUUUGCUUCCGGUUGCUGCUCUGAGCAACAGGAGGCAAGAGCACGGCCCUCUGCGGGACGUGAUGCUCGUCUCGUAGCGGCGCCGGUGGUUCAGAGAGGACGCCGUGCCGUACGUCAGGAGGACCCUCGUUAAGUGCGGGAUGCAGCUAGACCUGCUGGACUGGAACUGACCGCUGGAAGUGACCUCAGCCCAGAACCCACACCAGCAGUUUGAGAAUUUCAGAUAUUUUAUAAAUUCAGUUUCAGUUUAAACCUUAAUAUCUCUGAAACCCUGCUCUCCAGAGACGCCACCGUUGGCUGUACCUGUACAAAGUGUUCACCUCGAAUGAACCGACAUGACGUCUCAGCUAGUGUUUGGCCAGAGACUCUGAUGCAAAGCGUAAGAAGGUCCUACGAUCCAAUGAGACAAAAACUGAGCUUUCUGUCUAUUUAAAGAAACACUGUUUGCCAUGAGGCAAACCUGCACAUGACCACAAACACACCAUCCCUGCUGUUAAGCCUGGUGGUGGCAGCAUCAUGCUGUGGGGAUGCUUCUUGGCACCAGGGCUUAGAAAGUUUACUGAUAGAGGGUAAAAUGAGUGCAGUAAGUUAAAGGGAAACCAUGGAGGAAAACCGGCUGUAGUCUCCAAGAGAAGUAGGAGAUUAAUUUUACAGCUGGUCUGCGACCCUCGACACAAGGAUGAAGCUAUGCAGGAAUGAGUUAGAAACACGUCUCUGUCCUGGAGUGGCCUGGAGAUCUCAGGCCCGCACUUCACUCCCGGUCGCAACGAGCUGGACAGAACCUGAGCAGUUUUCAUAAAGAAAUGGGCUAAAUUGCAGUGUCAAGAUGUGCAAACCUGGAACAGAUUUCUAUCGAUAAAAUAUAGCUCAUAAAGUGCCUUGACUGAAUAUUGGCUUGUUGGGGUCAAUACUUAUGCACUCGGUUAUUUUGUUCGAUUCUUCUAAUUAAUUCAGAAUUUUUUUCCAGAAAUGCUUUAACACAAAAGACAUUUGUUCUGAUCAGUCACAAAAAAACGUGAUGAAAUGCACUGUGACUCCAGUUUAUGUUAAAAAAAAAAAAAACAUGAAAAAGUUCUGAAAAGUUUGGGGGGGUGAAUGUUUUUUACAAGGGCUGCAAAUGAAAGGACACUUCAGCCCUGAGUGAAUAAAGUGUUAAAUAUUUUCA
ensembl:lncRNA